UUUUUAGUAUAAGUAUGUCCCAUGCAAUAUUUGGAACAUACCUAUAUUAAAA
rnacentral:pre_miRNA from 1 species